rnacentral:lncRNA from 1 species
UUAUGGCACACAGCAGGAGGAACAGCCCGUAUCCAACAGACAUGGAAUACACAGGGAGCCUGUAGGACGUGGCAUGGAGUGGUGGAAGGAUCAAAUGUUGGCACAGCAUAGUGGGAAGGGAGAGAAGAGCAAAUAGCUUUGAAAACAACAACUGCAACUCAAACUUGUUUGCAUGUCCCAGUUCUGAGGCCUCACAGAGGACCCACCAGGAACCUUCCCUGCUCUUCCUGCCCAUUUACUGUGCUGAGAACUGGGGGAAGUUAGAGCCAUGGUGACUCCCCAAAACUACUCAUGAAAAGCAGUGCACAGACCUCACAGGACUCACAGCUAAACCUUGUCUUUCCAUUAUGCUGGUGAGCUAGAGCACUUUGAGACUGCAGCUUGUCAACCUUCCACAUAUCCAGAUACCUCCAGGUGCAGGAAUCACCAUGGCAGUGGCUUCUGCCUUCCUCUGGUGCACCUGCAUGCAGUGAGGCUCUGCUCAAAGACAGCGCUGCUGGCAAGUUUGGCAGGUGUUUGAGUGCAUCAGUAACCCCAGGCAGAGCAGAAAUUACCUUAAUAACUGUGCAGCAGGUCAGAGCUUUUAGAAGAAUAAAUAGUUGGGGAAAGCAGCGUGUCCUGCUGUGA